rnacentral:rRNA from 1 species
UACAGAGGUCUCAAGCGUUGUUCGGAUUCAUUGGGCGUAAAGGGUGCGUAGGUGGCGGGGUAAGUCGGAUGUGAAAUCUCAGGGCUCAACCCUGAAACUGCAUUCGAUACUGAGAGUCUCGAGUCCGGGAGAGGUGAGUGGAACUGCGAGUGUAGAGGUGAAAUUCGUAGAUAUUCGCAAGAACACCAGUGGCGAAGGCGGCUCACUGGCCCGGUACUGACGCUGAGGCGCGAAAGCGUGGGGAGCAAACAGG